AUCUAUUGUCUAAUGGUAAGGCACUGGUCCCUUAUGCGGGAGACAUGUACGGUUCAAGUCCUGUUCCCA
rnacentral:tRNA from 12 species